UACGAGGGGGGCAAGCGUUGUUCGGAAUUAUUGGGCGUAAAGGGUGCGUAGGCGGUUUGAUAAGUCACAUGUGAAAUCUUCGGGCUCAACCCGAAGUCUGCAUGCGAAACUGUCGGGCUUGAGUAUGGGAGAGGUGAGUGGAAUUUCCGGUGUAGCGGUGAAAUGCGUAGAUAUCGGAAGGAACACCUGUGGCGAAAGCGGCUCUCUGGGACGGUACUGACGCUGAGACGCGAAAGCGUGGGGAGCGAACAGG
rnacentral:rRNA from 1 species